rnacentral:rRNA from 1 species
GACGAACCGUCCAAACGUUAUUCGGAAUCACUGGGCUUAAAGGGUGCGUAGGCGGCGCGGAAAGUUGGGUGUGAAAUCCCUCGGCUCAACCGAGGAACUGCGCCCAAAACUACCGUGCUCGAGGAAGAUAGAGGUGAGCGGAACUUAGGGUGGAGCGGUGAAAUGCGUUGAUAUCCUAAGGAACACCGGUGGCGAAAGCGGCUCACUGGAUCUUUUCUGACGCUGAUGCACGAAAGCUAGGGUAGCGAACGGG